CCCCCUUCUAUAUUCUCGGUUUGCUCCCUGUGAGAAGAAAGAAAAGAAAGUGGGGGACGAAGAGUAGAGAAGCAACACAGUCGGAGGGUUUCGUGACUGAUUGCCACCAAGAUGUAUCAAUUUUUUAAAGAAACACUAUAUCCAGCUAUUGGUGGUUAUCUUUUUUUCGGUGGCACCAUUGUACUCUUUAUGGGGAUGACUAAAGUUGUGGACUGGUUCGAACGAGAUAAAUACCUGCAACAGCUGAGCAGAGGAUAUAAUGAGAAAAUAUAAUGAUGAGGAAAAAAGGGCUCUAUUGAAGGCUCUAAAAGCAAAAUAUGGAUUGUGCAAAACCUUCUACGGGACUCGGUUAAAGAUUACUAGCAAAUACAACAACUUAAGGUAGUUCACAGUUUGCCUGAGAAACUAAUAUAUCUGUCAUUUGACUAGAAGCUUAAUGUUGCUGCUUAUCUGAAACCAGUACUAUGAAUGAGAAUGCUAACUGCUUAAGGUGGACAGUUCGCGACUUUGCGCGGGAGUUUUACAGUAUAUAUAUUUUUCAUUUGGCUUGAAAAUUUUACGGUAAUUAUAGAUAAAAAUGCACACGAAUGCUUAAUGUCGAUGGCUUUUACGUGAAUUAUGGCAAGAAGAUGCAUGGGAAAUCCGGAAAAGCUGUAGUAGGCUCCAUCCCACAAAGGCCUCGAGUUAAAGUAUGGAUCAGAUUCAAUUAAGAGAAGAAGAGUGAAGAGUCAUUCUUAGGCCCCGUUUGGAUUGACUUUUCAAAUGUUGCUUUUGGCUUUUUGAGUUUGGAAGUUGUUUUAAGUAGUGUUUGGCUAAUUUUUUUAAAGAGCUUUUGAGUCUUGAAAGAGUGUUUUGGAGAAGCUGGUACCCUUAGCUUCUCCAAAACGCUCUUCUAAAAAUACACGGGAAGAGUAU